UACCAGCACCCCGAGUGGUCGGGACGAUUAUUGGGCCUAAAGCAUCCGUAGCCGGUUCUACAAGUCUUCCGUUAAAUCCACCUGCUUAACAGAUGGGCUGCGGAGGAUACUAGUGGAGCUAGGAGGCGGGAGAGGCAAGCGGUACUUAGUGGGUAGGGGUAAAAUCCGUUGAUCCAUUGAAGACCACCAGUGGCGAAGGCGGCUUGCCAGAACGC
rnacentral:rRNA from 1 species